GACGAACGCUGGCGGCGUGCUUAACACAUGCAAGUCGAACGGAAAGGCCCUGCUUUUGUGGGGUGCUCGAGUGGCGAACGGGUGAGUAACACGUGAGUAACCUGCCCUUGACUUUUGGAUAACUUCAGGAAACUGGGGCUAAUACCGGAUAGGAGCUCCUGCUGCAUGGUGGGGGUUGGAAAGUUUCGGCGGUUGGGGAUGGACUCGCGGGUUAUCAGCUUGUUGGUGGGGUAGUGGCUUACCAAGGCUUUGACGGGUAGCCGGCCUGAGAGGGUGACCGGCCACAUUGGGACUGAGAUACGGCCCAGACUCCUACGGGAGGCAGCAGUGGGGAAUAUUGCACAAUGGGCGGAAGCCUGAUGCAGCAACGCCGCGUGCGGGAUGACGGCCUUCGGGUUGUAAACCGCUUUCGCCUGUGACGAAGCGUGAGUGACGGUAAUGGGUAAAGAAGCACCGGCUAACUACGUG
rnacentral:rRNA from 1 species